AAUAAAAAAAAAAAACAAAACAAAACACAGGAUGAUCUAACAAAUCUUUUGCGAUUAGAAUCGAGUGAAUCUGAUCUUCAAAGGCAUUUUGCAGCAAUAAAUACAAAUGCAAAUUUAUUUUUACAGCAUAUAUGAAUUUACCUUAACUCUUAAGUGGGGAAGUAUAAUAGUUCUAUAUGAAAAGCUUAGCAAAAGCUUCAGAAAUUGGAAGAUAAGCUGAAGGAUAGCACAACAAGUACUUACCAACCAUUCUUGCUGACCCUGGC
rnacentral:misc_RNA from 1 species